GCAAACAGAAUGCAGGUUGCAUCUGCCAUUAGAACAGGCCUUGCAACUCGGAGUUCAGCUGAUCUAGUGACUCUCACUGCAACUGCUGCAACAUGUAAUGCACUGCGAUUCUCAGUUCGUAGAACAGUUCUUCCAUCUACUAAAAGAUGAUGACAGAAUUCUAUCUACAGUCUUCCAAAUCUUUGUUCUUUGCACAUCAAAUAAAGAAUGCACCCUUUGUGGUAAUUGCUACAGGUUUGAGAGGAGCUGCGACGCUUGAGCUGAGAGCAGCAGCUUGCAGACAGAUUUCAGAGGACCAGAGUACACUGGCAAGAGGUGCUGAACUCCCCAUUCAAACACCUGAUGGUAAUAUCCUCUUAAAUCUCAUAAACUCUAUUGCACAGAUGCGAGUUUUCUGGCUGCUGUUGAUCCAUUAAUGUACUACAACAACGAUGUAAUACAUGCAUGCAGGGAAGAUUCAACUCAGAAUGGUGAGGAUUUAUGUCAAGCAUGAUAGGCUUGCACUGAGGUUGGUAAAGAAGCAUAUCCGAGGAGUGAUUAGCACCUACAAAGAAUGUAAGACCAUGUACUUACUUGAUUUGCAAAUGGAAUUCCAUUGGAGUUUUGAACUAGUUGGUUAAAGUAAUCUGCAAUCAACCCUCUAAGUUUAAUGUGAGCUUAAAAUAAUAUGCUACCAGAAGAUACUGUGACUGAGAUUGCAUUACUAUCUUUCAUAUGGUUCUUGAUGCAAAUCUUUGUCAAGACUGGCAUUGUUAACUUAGUUUCUAAAAUUUACUUCUCAGUUAGGGUUUUUGAUGCAAUGGAGGAUCCAAAAGAAGGUGGCUUCUCCAAGAAUGGUCAUAGCUGCUACUUGAUAACACUCGCAACCACUGGGGGAACCAUUCAGCUGCUGUUUGAGGACCACAAGCGAUACAUAAUGUGGAAGUCCAGUAUCUCUCACCUCUUAUGUGACUGUUUAGAAACCACAACAAGAUUUUGAAUCAUCUGCAUGCCAAAGUGCCUCCAGGGUUCUUGCUUUUCCAUGAUGAACAGAGACAUGUAGUAAUAUGUUUUUCUUUAUUUAGCUUUUAUGCCAAUUCCUGAUGAAGCCACCUUCUAUGAAAAAGGUAGCAUCCUUUACACAUGCUCAGAGGCAAAGGUGAGAUUCGAUCCUACGAUAAACUAUCAAGGUCUGCUAAUUAAGCUAGCUGCUACCUUAAAAAUGUAUGAGUUGAGAUUUCAAACUCCCAACCUUUGGUAAAAGGAUCCGGUACACCACCAUUAGAUCAAUGUUUAAGGAGUGAAAAAUGUGUCAACUGAAAUUUUUAUCACCAUCACCUUUGGUACGAGUAUGAUAUACCACCAUCAAACCAAUGUUUAAGAUAUCACAUAAGCUCUUAUUAUACAUCCUUUGAUGCAACUUCUAAAUCUUUGAGAAAGUUUCAAAGGAAUAGAUUGCAUGAAACUGUAAGUUGCCAUCUAUGUGCUUCAUUAGCUAACCAAUUUGCAGCAGCAUUAAUUGAUUGAUUGAUAUUUGUUUGAAGUCUGUUUUGAAACCAAUUGUCAUAAUUCGGUUUGACGUAUCUAUAAACCUAAUACAAAAUUCCAAAUCUUCUUUGUCCAAAAUAUCUGAACCCUAACUAUAAAGAUAUCAAAUUUAAUGUUAUCUUUUGUCUAGAACUCUUACCAUUGUAAAUUUGACAGGGUCCAUAGUCAAUGACUUUCCUUCAUUCGUUGAUGCAGAAUGUACACUAUAAGUCAGAAUAGAAGUUUCAUGUAAGACUGGUACCUUGUGAUGCUUCUAGUUUCCAUAUCCCAUUCAUGUCUUGUGCCUCCACUGUUGCUCGGGAGCUGGGUGUAUUCCUGCCUAACUCUCCUGACAACAUGAACUCAGAACCCAAGACCAAGUUGAACUCUAAAAGCCUGCACUCAUGCUUAUUCUUAUAUGCUUAGCAUCACAACACAGGUCACAAGAUACAGAAACAGGUGGCGUGUUCCCUGGUAUGACCUUUAAGAUGUGCUUCCUCCUUCCUGCCCCAUCUGUGAGAUCAAGAUUUCUCAGCGAUCUGAAUCACAAGCGGGGAGGUACAAAAGCACUAAGCCUUUCUCCACCACUUUCUUCUUACACCAGGGACUGAGUUCUUUCUGCUGAGUCAUAUGUAUAAUGAUGAUAUUUUGUUUAUGUAAUCAAGGACAACAACAAUAUAAAUCAGCCCCCACCUCAUUCUGUAUGAUGUCACAAUCUUGCUAUCUUGUAAUAGCUACAUAGCACAAUACAAAAAAUGCAAAUUCUUUUUACAGCUGCCUGCAACUCUGGGCAUAUUACAACUCGUUAUCUCAAAAUCUAAUUUGUUUUCCUUUUCAUCUCAAAAUCUAAGUUCACUGGAAGAUAUCAUGAUCGAACUAUUAUGAUCUUAAAAUCUAAGUUUACCAGAACAGUUCAGCUCAUAAGAGUUCAUUCAUGAUAUGCUUUCUUAGGAAGAGCCUGUAAACUAUAGCAGAUAAAGCAGAUCCCUGGCAUUUCUAGACAAAUUGUUCUUGAAGUCCAAAAAGCAAAUAAUUCCACUGUUCCAAGUAGACCACUACAUGCAAGUGUCAAUCAUGGCAUCCCAUUCUCAAUCCUAGAAGAAUGUCAAAACCUAAAGCUUUUCCAGUUCAAAUAAAUCUGCACUAUUUUCUCUAUAAAAGCUUCAGCUUAACCUUCACUCCCUAACCAUUGUACUUAACAACUUGUUUCCUUACUUGCUGCCUCUCCUCUUGCUUCAAUGGCUCUGCCCACUCAACUGCUCUUCUUCUUACCUCUACUUCUCCAACAUCCCACCAGAGCAGAGACAUGCAGCGAUUGCUUCACCCAAUCCAGGGCAGCUUACUACCCAAAUUCUGAUAAAACAGGAACAGAGAGGAAGAUCCAAACACCUGCAUGAAACAUGUUUUCUGUCGGUGUGUCAUUAAUUCUUUUGCUCAGAUAAUCUCAACUUCUCAUCUGACUUAAGCUGGUUCAUU
rnacentral:lncRNA from 1 species